GAUGAACGCUAGCGGCAGGCUUAAUACAUGCAAGUCGAGGGGUAGCAAGAUUGUAGCAAUACAAUUGUUGACGACCGACAAACGGGUGCGGAACACGUACACAACCUUCCUACAAGUGGGGAAUAGCCCAGAGAAAUUUGGAUUAAUACCCCAUAGUACAUUAGAGUGGCAUCACUUAAAUGUGAAAGAUUUAUCACUUGAAGAUGGCUGUGCGGCUGAUUAGAUAGUUGGUGAGGUAACGGCUCACCAAGUCUGCGAUCAGUAACUGGUGUGAGAGCACGACCAGUCACACGGGCACUGAGACACGGGCCCGACUCCCACGGGAGGCAGCAGUAAGGAAUAUUGGUCAAUGGACGAAUGUCUGAACCAGCUAUGCCGCGUGGAGGAUGAAGGCCCUCUGGGUUGUAAACUUCUUUUAUAUGGGACGAAAAAGGGACUUUCUAGUCCAACUGACGGUACCAUGUGAAUAAGCACCGGCUAACUCCGUGCCAGCAGCCGCAGUAACAC
rnacentral:rRNA from 1 species